CAGCACUUGUUUGAAGUUUUGUUGAUGGCAGGCAUUCUGUCACAUAUGAGGUCAGCCUGGUGGUGUUGAAUUCCUGAGGGAGGGGCCAUUGCUUCUCCCAAGGCUCUGAGAAGAAGCUCCUUGAAUAAGGUGGCUGGUAUUCUAUGAGAAAUUGAUAACAGCACAAACUCCCAGUCUCCUUCCCUCCAGCUCUCUUCUGAACCAAGGUCCUGGAUUCUCUCCACAUAUUUUCAGUGCAGUCAGCCCUCCCUCUGCUGGAUCCCAAGUGGCUGCACCAGUCUGCAUUCCCACCA